GCCCAGGUGGCGGAAUUGGUAGACGCGCUAGCUUCAGGUGCUAGUAUCCGAAAGGAUGUGGGAGUUCGAGUCUCCCCCUGGGCACCA
rnacentral:tRNA from 4 species